UACGGGGGGGAGCAAACGUUGUUCGGAAUCACUGGGCGUAAAGGGCGCGUAGGCGGCCAGAUAAGUGGGGUGUUAAAUCUCCCGGCUCAACCGGGAACCUGCACCUCAUACUGCCUGGCUUGAGUACAGCAGAGGAGACUGGAAUUCCCGGUGUAGCGGUGAAAUGCGUAGAUAUCAAGAGGAACACCAGUGGCGAAGGCGAGUCCCUGGACGAUACCUGACACUGAGGCACGAAAGCCAAGGGAGCAAACAGG
rnacentral:rRNA from 1 species